AGCGAACGCUGGCGGCAGGCCUAACACAUGCAAGUCGAGCGGGCACCGCAAGGUGUCAGCGGCAGACGGGAGAGUAACACGUGGGAACGUGCCCUUCGGUUCGGAAUAACUCGGGGAAACUCGAGCUAAUACCGAAUACGCCCUUACGGGGAAAGAUUUAUCGCCGAUGGAGCGGCCCGCGUCUGAUUAGCUAGUUGGUGAGGUAACGGCUCACCAAGGCUACGAUCAGUAGCUGGUCUGAGAGGAUGAUCAGCCUCACUGGGACUGAGACACGGCCCAGACUCCUACGGGUGGCAG
rnacentral:rRNA from 1 species